rnacentral:sRNA from 1 species
CCUGCGGAGGACGAUUGUCCGAAAUGGGUUGUUGUGCAGCGUGACCAUGCUGCGCGAGGAUGCCUUGACAUCCUCACUUGAGCCGCGCCUUGCGCCGCUCCCUGAGUGCCACGCCCCCGGAAGGGGCGUGGCAUCCAGGUCU